rfam:Dipodomys ordii contig_54915, whole genome shotgun sequence.
GGCGCUGUAGCUUAAGUGGUAGAGCACUCGCCUUGCAUGCAGGAGGCCCUGGGUUCGAUUCCUCAGCACCA